rnacentral:rRNA from 1 species
AAUUACCCACUCCCAGCACGGGGAGGUAGUGACGAAAAAUAACGAUACGGGACUCAUCCGAGGCCCCGUAAUCGGAAUGAGUACACUUUAAAACUUUUCCCGAGGAUCAAUUGGAGGGUAAGUCUGGUGCCAGCAGCCGCGGUAAUUCCAGCUCCAAUAGCGUAUAUUAAAGUUGUUGCGGUUAAAAAGCUCGUAGUCGAAUCUGUGUCCCGCGCCGCUGGUUCAUCGCUCGCGGUGUUCAACUGGCGUGUCUCGCGGGACGUCCUGCCGGUGGGCGCUCGUAUCGUUUCGGCGGUGCGUGGCCCAACUCGUAGCCGUCUAGCGCGGUUGCGAAUCCCAUCGCGGUGCUCUUUAUUGAGUGUCGAGGUGGGCCGGCACGUUUACUUUGAACAAAUUAGAGUGCUUAAAGCAGGCCAAUUUUGCCUGAAUAUUGUGUGCAUGGAAUAAUGGAAUAGGACCUCGGUUCUAUUUUGUUGGUUUUCGGAACCCCGAGGUAAUGAUUAAUAGGAACGGAUGGGGGCAUUCGUAUUGCGACGUUAGAGGUGAAAUUCUUGGAUCGUCGCAAGACGGACAGAAGCGAAAGCAUUUGCCAAAAACGCUUUCAUUGAUCAAGAACGAAAGUUAGAGGCUCGAAGGCGAUCAGAUACCGCCCUAGUUCUAACCAUAAACGAUGCCAGCUAGCGAUCCGCCGACGUUCCUCCGAUGACUCGGCGGGCAGCUUCCGGGAAACCAAAGCUUUUGGGUUCCGGGGGAAGUAUGGUUGCAAAGCUGAAACUUAAAGGAAUUGACGGAAGGGCACCACCAGGAGUGGAGCCUGCGGCUUAAUUUGACUCAACACGGGACACCUUACCAGGCCCGGACACCGGAAGGAUUGACAGAUUGAGAGCUCUUUCUUGAUUCGGUGGGUGGUGGUGCAUGGCCGUU